rnacentral:rRNA from 1 species
CCUACGGGGGGCAGCAGUGAGGAAUAUUGGUCAAUGGGCGUAAGCCUGAACCAGCCAAGUCGCGUGAAGGAUGACGGCUCUAUGGGUUGUAAACUUCUUUUAUAUGGGAAUAAAACGUUGCACGUGUGGGAUUUUGUAUGUACCAUAUGAAUAAGGAUCGGCUAACUCCGUGCCAGCAGCCGCGGUAAUACGGAGGAUCCGAGCGUUAUCCGGAUUUAUUGGGUUUAAAGGGAGCGUAGGCGGAUUUUUAAGUCAGUGGUGAAAGUUUGCGGCUCAACCGUAAAAUUGCAGUUGAAACUGGGAGUCUUGAGUACAGUAGAGGUGGGCGGAAUUCGUGGUGUAGCGGUGAAAUGCUUAGAUAUCACGAAGAACUCCGAUUGCGAAGGCAGUUCAC